rnacentral:misc_RNA from 1 species
GUGAAUCAUCAAAUUUUUGAACGCAAAUUGCGCCUGUUUCGGAAGUCAUGUCUGUUUGAGUGCGCCAUUUAACAAAUAAUGUGCAGCGUUUUUUGUGGCACACGUUGAUGAGCUUUCCAAGAAUUUUAACUUUUUGGUGGCGCAUAGUGAACAGCGUGAGAGGUUUUUUCAGUUCGAGUGUAUUGUAAUCUUUGCUUGGGUGGUGAAAAAACAUAAUCGCGCAAUGGGUGUGUCGAUUUCUUUUUGUCCCUUCCCCGAUGCCACUC